UUUCUCAUCAACAAACAUUGUACAAAAAAAAGUACUGAAUAAAAGUAUUGCCUAUGUUGUUGUUCACACCUAUGUAUUUACUAGAAUGUCUGAGAGGGCUGUACUGUAUAUAUGACUUUAAAUUUUAGUUGAUUUAUUUAUUAACCUUGAAAAGAGUAAGUACUUCUUAGUGAAAGCAAUUCUUACAGCUUUGUUUUCAACCAACUAAAAAUGAUAUCACUCUUACAUAUUGUCCUCCAUAUUCUGAGGUCUUAAAUGUACUUUUUUCUGAUUUGUAUUUAUGUCCUGAGACAGAGAUUUUUGGAAAAGAAAAUAAACCUACAGUUAAAAGAAAAAAGAAAACAAUGAAAAUAGAAGCUGAGCUUAGCUGAGGAUAUGAAUAACGAAAAGCAACCACCUUACCGCAAAACAACUCUAAGAAGUAGGAUUAUCAUCACUCAAUUUACAGGCAUCCAUGUCCUCCAGGAUAUAAAGGAAGAAGUUGAGGGAUGGAUGCAGAGUAUACUAUUCUCCACCAUUACAAAUUGGGCACCUUUGCUUUUGAAUGAGUGACCACAGCCCUGGAAACUUGUAUGCUUUGCUAAUUGAGGGCAGAUGAGCCUCAGGUCAAUCCCCCAUCAAUUAUCCACUCAACAACAAUAAAAUGCUAACUUGUAUGCCCUAA